GACCGCUUGUGCAGCCGCCAUUUCUUCUGACCAUCGACUGUCCACCGGAUUGUAAAACAGCCUGGAGCCAAGCAUCAUCAGACCAUAGAAGAUUGCCAUGGCAAGUUCAAAACCUGCAAGACUGAAGGUGAUUCUAGGAG